AGAACUAAUAGCUUGAAGAGUCGAAUGAAAGGGUAACGCCUUGAAAGGCUCUCUCUAAUACUCCGAAUAGCUGUUUAUUAAGUAAGUAGUAAAUGGUUAUAAGCUCGGUGAAGUCGGUUGAGAGUUGCCGAAACGGUCAUGCCGUCGAAAGUCUUUUAGAGGUAAAAGAUGCAACCUAUAAACCGGGGGUCUAUAAA
rnacentral:ncRNA from 1 species